UACGAAGGGGGCUAGCGUUGCUCGGAAUCACUGGGCGUAAAGGGUGCGUAGGCGGGUCUUUAAGUCAGGGGUGAAAUCCUGGAGCUCAACUCCAGAACUGCCUUUGAUACUGGCGGUCUCGAGUCCGGGAGAGGUGAGUGGAACUGCGAGUGUAGAGGUGAAAUGCGUAGAUAUCGGGAGGAACAUCAGUGGCGAAGGCGACUGCCUGGCCCAACACUGACGCUGAGGUGCGAAAGCAUGGGUAGCAAACAGGG
rnacentral:rRNA from 1 species